UACGUAGGGGGCAAGCGUUGUCCGGAAUCAUUGGGCGUAAAGCGCGCGUAGGCGGCCCGGUAAGUCCGUUGUGAAAGUCAAAGGCUCAACCUUUGAACGCCGAUGGAUACUGCCGGGCUAGAGUCCGGAAGAGGCGAGUGGAAUUCCUGGUGUAGCGGUGGAAUGCGCAGAUAUCAGGAGGAACACCAGUGGCGAAGGCGAGUCCCUGGACAAACCCUGACACUGAGGCACGAAAGCCAAGGGAGCAAACAGG
rnacentral:rRNA from 1 species